rnacentral:rRNA from 1 species
UUUGUCUCUUAAAUGGGCACGCGUAUGAAUGGCUUGUCACUCUUUGUCUGUGUCUUUUCUCUUCCUCCUAAACUUAGGGACCACGUGAAGAAGCGUGAAUAAAUAAGAAAGACGAGAAGACCCUGUCGAGCUUUAGCUAACUCUGAAAAGAAAACGUUUACUCUUUGAAACAGCUAAAUUUCAGAUUAAGCUUUGGUUGGGGCAACCAUGGAGAAAAAAGAUCCUCCAGUUAAUAGAAAGAAACCCUUUCACCUAAAAUCUUUGGCGACCCAGUUACUCUGGAAAACGGAAAAAGUUACCGCAGGGAUAACAGCGUUAUCUUCUCUGAGAGCCC